rnacentral:rRNA from 1 species
CUACGGGCGGCACCAGUAGGGAAUCUUAGACAAUGGGGGAAACCCUGAUCUAGCCAUGCCGCGUGAGUGAUGAAGGCCUUAGGGUUGUAAAGCUCUUUCGCUGGGGAAGAUAAUGACGGUACCCAGUAAAGAAACCCCGGCUAACUCCGUGCCAGCAGCCGCGGUAAUAGGGAGGGGGUUAGCGUUGUUCGGAUUUCUGGGCGUAAAGCGCGCGUAGGCGGGCUAUUAAGUCAGGGGUGAAAUCCCGGGGCUCAACCCCGGAACUGCCUUUGAUACUGGUAGUCUUGAGUUCGAGAGAGGUGAGUGGAAUUCCGAGUGUAGAGGUGAAAUUCGUAGAUAUUCGGAGGAACAUCAGUGGCGAAGGCGACUCACUGGCUCGAUACUGACGCUGAGGUGCGAAAGUGUGGGGAGCAAACAGGAUUAGAUACCCUAGUAGUC